rnacentral:lncRNA from 1 species
UUUUUUUUUUUUUUUUAUGAUAGUUACACAGAGAGAGGCAGAGACAGGCAGAGGGAGAAGCAGGCUCCAUGCACCGGGAGCCCGACAUGGGAUUCAAUCCCAGGUCUCCAGGAUCGCACCCUGGGCCAAAGGCCGGCGCCAAACCGCUGCGCCACCCAGGGAUCCUGAACCAUCUUUGUUUUAUUUGUUUUUCAUAGUUGAUUAUUUAAUGAAUAAGCUAAAUUUACCCUAAGAACAUUUUCUUUUGCUUCAAACAUCUUUUUUGAACCAACAUGCAGUGCUUCUCAAUAAGGAUUGCUUUUGGACAUUAAUCAGAAACAUUUAUACCAUUUCUGAAAAAGUUUCAUAUUAUAGAAAUCAGUUCUUGCCACAUCUCCAGAAAAGCUUCUUAUAGUAUAUAAGAAUAUGAGGUAAGAAGGAGGUGUUGAGUUGUCCUGAUCUGCCUAAUUGCCUAAGUGGGAAGAAUUUAAUAAACCCAGAGUUAUCCUACUAAAUUUCAUUUGUUCUUACAGUAAAGGCUACAGGAAGAAGAUGGGACUUUUGCCAUGUGUUGUGUACUCCACGGUGACACAAAACUACAGCCUGCCCCUGGCCAGGUUGCAACCCUCAUUUUUGACAUUUUUGUUGGCCUCAGAGUAUUACCUGCAACAUUUGUUCCUGUGUUGGAAAUCCAUGAUUUUGUAGCUCAGAACUAAAAAGUGGGUUUUUGACUCCUCAAACUCAUAGAUUGGAAGCAUUCAGGAGAGAUCACUUAUGCUACCGCCUCAGGGCCUGAGAACCUAAUUUAUCAUAAAUUCAUGGUGUAUCUGAUCCAAGCCUAUUUAACAAUACAUGUGCUUUGUCAUUCUGUCUGAGUUGUAGACUCUUUGAAAUCAAGGUCUGCAAAUGGUUCUUAUUUUUCAUAGCCCCAGAGCAACUGACUUCAUAGUUGUUAGGAACUCAGUAAACAUUCAGAGACGAAGAUUAAGAAAUUAAACACAUCUUUCUUCUGUUUAGCACUAGGAUCUUCUUCCAGCCCUGGCCAUUUUCCUGGGCUUUCCUUCCCUCCUUGCAACAGGAUCCAGGAAUUCAAACUACUUUCUUUUUCUUUUUUUUAAUUUUUAUUUAUUUAUGAUAGUCACAGAGAGAGAGAGAGAGAGAGAGAGAGAGAGAGAUCAAGGCAAGGAAUAUCCAUGUAUCCAUUAAGUGUUCUUCAAGUCAAUACCCAAAGAUUAUUGACUAAGGGAAGGGUAGACCUACUCAGGUUAGAGCCACAUCAGCUGAAACUGCUAACACUCUAUUUUCCCUUAGCUCUCCUGCAUCACAGAUGACCUUUUGAAUUGUCUACUAAAAUUUCCUUUAGGGAAUUCAUAUUAUGCCCUCCCCUUCUUAGAGUAGGACACAAAGACAGGUUUCAGAACUUCUGCAUAAUUAACUUCUGAAUCAUUUUUUCUCACACUUUUGUGAGCUUUUUUCUAUUCAAAGGAGAAAAUUGAUUGCUACUAUGGCAUUUUGUUUCGAUUAUAUGUUAAACUUCAGCUUUGAUAGAAAAAUAAUGGUCUGUCAUAUGGACAUUUUUUGCACUGUAAUUUUUUUCAUCAUUUUAUGACAAUUGACAUCUGACAGAAAAUGGUAAAUAAGUUAAAUUUUAAGUUUAAGAUAACUUAAAAGGCAAAAAAAGGCCCACUUCAUUAGUAAUCUAAGAAUUAAAGUAUUAAUUGAUUACUUAGAUUAUUUUACAUGCUUUUUAAAAUUCAUAAGAUUAAGACAAGUCUGCUUUAACAGGGUUUAGAAAAUCUUUCAAAUACAUUAACUCAUAUACUCUUUUUUUGAAAGAUUUUAUUUAUUUAUUUGAAGGAAAGAGAGCAUGAGCAAAGAAGGGCAGAGGAAGAGGAAAGAGAGAAUCUGAAGCAGACUCUGCACUGGGCACAAAGCCCAAUGGAGGUGGGGGCUUAUACCCAUAACUGUGAGAUUAUGACCUGAGCCAAAACCAAGAGACAGACACUUAAUUGACUGAGCCACCCAGGUGCCCCUAACUCAUAUACUAUUAAUUUUCUGUUCAUUCAAUCUGUAAACAGGGUUUGCUUCCAGAAUUAUUUACAUGAUUUGUUGACUUUAAAAACUCCUAUUACAGUACAGAUCAUUAAAAUAUUAACCUAUGUCUAUUCAAGCAAUAAUAAAAUUUAAAUAGAAAUGGGUUAAAUCAUGUUUGUUAAUUCUUCUGUUUAUUAUACAUGUUUA